GGAUUAAUAGUUUAAGUAGAAUAAGAGUUUUGUAAACUUUAGGUAUGAUUUCGGAAAUUUAAUCCA
rnacentral:tRNA from 2 species